UUGGUUGGGACAAUCUUUGCAUCAUCCAUCUACUUUAAAACAUCCUGGUGGCUUGUGAAAUACAUCUGUGACUCGAGUAAGUUUCAUGAAGAAGGAAGCCCAUGGACGUGCCCUGGUGACGAUGUUUUCUACAACGCUUCAAUCAUAUCGAGGUGGGAUCGUUCUUGCCAUUUCUACCAUGUACGUCAAAAUUAUGGCAGCAUUUUUCUGGACAAUGACUGCUUAUUUUUUUAUAAUGUAAAUGGACAGUAUCCUAACUAUGUUAUUGAUAUGAUAGUCAAACACAUCAAGAAUCAUGUCUGAUACAUUUUCAAAGUAUCCGCCUUGUUUAAAAGACACGAGUUUCUGGAUCAAUGACUCAUUCACAGAAAACAACCUUUGCAAAAUUGUCAGAGGUGUUGCUGGUGAUCUUGCGGAGGAGGUAGUACUGAUUGACAACUUCACUACCAAGAAAAGAAUGACUAGCCAUUGUUACAGGAUCACAUAUCGCUCCAUGGAGCGUUCUCUUACAGACGAGGAAAUAAACGACCUACAG